UGGAAAAUGAAGAGGGGGCCAGGCGCCUGU
rnacentral:piRNA from 1 species